rnacentral:rRNA from 1 species
GACGAACGCUGGCGGCGUGCCUAAUACAUGCAAGUUGAGCGAUGAAGAUUGGUGCUUGCACCAAUUUGAAGAGCAGCGAACGGGUGAGUAACGCGUGGGGAAUCUGCCUUUGAGCGGGGGACAACAUUUGGAAACGAAUGCUAAUACCGCAUAACAACUUUAAACAUAAGUUUUAAGUUUGAAAGAUGCAAUUGCAUCACUCAAAGAUGAUCCCGCGUUGUAUUAGCUAGUUGGUGAGGUAAAGGCUCACCAAGGCGAUGAUACAUAGCCGACCUGAGAGGGUGAUCGGCCACAUUGGGACUGAGACACGGCCCAAACUCCUACGGGAGGCAGCAGUAGGGAAUCUUCGGCAAUGGACGAAAGUCUGACCGAGCAACGCCGCGUGAGUGGAGAAGGUUUUCGGAUCGUAAAACUCUGUUGGUAGAGAAGAACGUUGGUGAGAGUGGAAAGCUCAUCAAGUGACGGUAACUACCCAGAAAGGGACGGCUAACUACGUG